AGACCAUCCAAGAAGACGGUGCAGCCACCUCCGAGAGCCUGGAUGUGAUGGCGUCACAGAAGAGACCCUCCCAGAGGCACGGAUCCAAGUACCUGGCCACAGCAAGUACCAUGGACCAUGCCAGGCAUGGCUUCCUCCCAAGGCACAGAGACACGGGCAUCCUUGACUCCAUCGGGCGCUUCUUUGGCGGUGACAGGGGUGCGCCCAAGCGGGGCUCUGGCAAGGACUCACACCACCCGGCAAGAACUGCUCACUACGGCUCCCUGCCCCAGAAGUCACACGGCCGGACCCAAGAUGAAAACCCCGUAGUCCACUUCUUCAAGAACAUUGUGACGCCUCGCACACCACCCCCGUCGCAGGGAAAGGGGAGAGGACUGUCCCUGAGCAGAUUUAGCUGGACAGAUCCUAGAACCACAGGGCACAUGUGACCAGAAUCCAAUCUGUGCAAAUCAAUCAGCAAAAGGAGCCCCCAGCAAAGGCGCAGGCCGGGGCCUCCGGGGACCGGCACCUACACACCGCACAGCCCCCCAGGGUCCGAGUCCUCCAAACACGUGUAGGCAGGAGCCUCCUUACCUUGAUU
rnacentral:sRNA from 1 species